GCAGUGGUGGUUUAGGAGGGUAGAUGUCUUGCCUUCUACACAGGAGACCCAGGUUCAAUUCCUGGCCAAUGCA
rnacentral:tRNA from 1 species